AUUGAACGCUGGCGGCAUGCUUUACACAUGCAAGUCGAACGGAAACAUGGAGAGCUUGCUCUCUGAUGUCGAGUGGCGAACGGGUGAGUAAUACAUCGGAACGUGCCCGAUCGUGGGGGAUAACGAAGCGAAAGCUUUGCUAAUACCGCAUAAGAUCUAAGGAUGAAAGCAGGGGACCGCAAGGCCUUGCGCGAACGGAGCGGCCGACGGCAGAUUAGGUAGUUGGUGGGAUAAAAGCUUACCAAGCCGACGAUCUGUAGCUGGUCUGAGAGGACGACCAGCCACACUGGGACGGAGACACGGCCCAGACUGCUACGGGAGGCAGCAGUGGGAAAUUUUGGACAAUGGGCGAAAGCCUGAUCCAGCCAUGCCGCGUGCAGGAUGAAGGCCUUCGGGUUGUAAACUGCUUUUGUACGGAACGAAAAGACUCUUUCUAAUAAAGAGGGUCCAUGACGGUACCGUAAGAAUAAGCACCGGCUAACUACGUGCCAGCCGCCGCCGUAAUAC
rnacentral:rRNA from 1 species